AGUGAACGCUGGCGGUAGGCCUAACACAUGCAAGUCGAACGGCAGCACAGUAAGAGCUUGCUCUUACGGGUGGCGAGUGGCGGACGGGUGAGGAAUACAUCGGAAUCUACUUUUUCGUGGGGGAUAACGUAGGGAAACUUACGCUAAUACCGCAUACGACCUACGGGUGAAAGCAGGGGAUCUUCGGACCUUGCGCGAUUGAAUGAGCCGAUGUCGGAUUAGCUAGUUGGCGGGGUAAAGGCCCACCAAGGCGACGAUCCGUAGCUGGUCUGAGAGGAUGAUCAGCCACACUGGAACUGAGACACGGUCCAGCCUCCUACGGGAGGCAGCAGUGGGGAAUAUUGGACAAUGGGCGCAAGCCUGAUCCAGCCAUACCGCGUGGGUGAAGAAGGCCUGCGGGUUGUAAAGCCCUUUUGUUGGGAAAGAAAAGCAGCAGGUUAAUACCCCGCUGUUCUGACGGUACCCAAAGAAUAAGCACCGGCUAACUGCGU
rnacentral:rRNA from 1 species